GCCGAGGUGGCGGAAUUGGCAGACGCGCUACUUUGAGGGGGUAGUGAGGGCAACCUCGUAAGGGUUCAAGUCCCUUCCUCGGCACCA
rnacentral:tRNA from 1 species